UGUUAAAAAAUUAUCCAUCUGUACUAUUAAAAACUAAUUUAGCUAAUGAAAUAACUAGAUAGUAACAUGUGACAUGCCACGUAUACUUUAUGUUAACAUACAACAACCAAUUUUUAAUAAUAAAAAUGGAUGAAACUUUUAACA
rfam:Gossypium hirsutum cultivar TM-1 chromosome 2, whole genome shotgun sequence